AACCUCUAACUCUUCGUCUUCUUCUCUUUCAUGAAAUGACUCUCAAACCAACAUAGAAGGUCGACCAUCGCCAUCUCCUCCUAUAAGAAUCGCUUGCGGUGAGCAUGGUGUCCGGCGACGUCGUCGGUGCGACCAGCUUCACUCCUCUCUCCUUCUUCGCUCGUGAAACAGAGACUCAGGGCCUUUCUUCACCUCCAUCCACGGCAGUUGUUGUCUUCAUCAUAUCCAGCACCAACGCACCUCUUCAUUGUCGGCCACCGUAUCUCCUUCAUCCACGACUACACCUUCCCCAAAUUGUUGAAGCCGCCGCCGCUCAGAUCUUGCUAAUUCGAAACCACAUCAUCGACAAACAAUAGUGGCUUUUGACCUAACCGGCAUCGCUGUGAGCUCCCUCCCUUUCUUCUUUCGAUUUUCCGAUCUGGUGAGAGGGGUUUUGCUCCUCCUUCUUCAUUCUUCCCAAAUCCGGUUCGCUUGGAGGAAGAUCUAAUCAGGCUUUGUCUCAUCUCCAUUCGGAAGAUGACAAGGAAAAACUUGUGGAGGAGACAGGGUUGCAAUUGAAGCAAAUUAAUAAUUGGUUCAUCAAUCAAAGGAAACGCAACUGGCACAACAAUUUGGAAAGGGCAUACCUGUCCCAUCCCAGGAACUGUAUAAUGUUUCACAAGAAAUGAAGCUAAAGUGAGCACUGUCCAUGGUCCUCUCUCAAACAAGGCAACAAGAAUGCAGAGAUGAAGAGGUUCUUGUUGAAGCAAAAAGAAUAGCUGAAUCUCGCAUGCCACCCAAGGUUACAUACAAGAAUGUCAAUGGGUCAUCAAAGGAGAAAAAGAGAUAAUGUCAAACGCAACAAAAGGGCUCACUCAACAAUUCUACUGGAUUUUAUACUUUAGAUUAUUUUAAUGGGAACUUUUUAAGUAAUUAUGUGAGGUUCUUAUUGUAUCAUAGGUUUUAAAGAAGACUUUAUUAGUUUAU